GACGAACGCUGGCGGCGUGCUUAACACAUGCAAGUCGAACGGAAAAGCCCUGCUUUUGUGGGGUGCUCGAGUGGCGAACGGGUGAGUAACACGUGAGUAACCUGCCCUUGACUUUGGGAUAACUUCAGGAAACUGGGGCUAAUACCGGAUAGGAGCUCCUGCUGCAUGGUGGGGGUUGGAAAGUUUCGGCGGUUGGGGAUGGACUCGCGGCUUAUCAGCUUGUUGGUGGGGUAGUGGCUUACCAAGGCUUUGACGGGUAGCCGGCCUGGGAGGGUGACCGGCCACAUUGGGACUGAGAUACGGCCCAGACUCCUACGGGAGGCAGCAGUGGGGAAUAUUGCACAAUGGGCGGAAGCCUGAUGCAGCAACGCCGCGUGCGGGAUGACGGCCUUCGGGUUGUAAACCGCUUUCGCCUGUGACGAAGCGUGAGUGACGGUAAUGGGUAAAGAAGCACCGGCUAACUACGUG
rnacentral:rRNA from 1 species